rnacentral:rRNA from 1 species
GACGAACGCUGGCGGCGUGCUUAACACAUGCAAGUCGAACGGUGAACCAGAGCUUGCUCUGGGGAUCAGUGGCGAACGGGUGAGUAACACGUGGGCAACCUGCCCCAGACUCUGGGAUAACCUCGGGAAACCGAUGCUAAUACCGGAUACGACCACUUCGGACAUCCGACGGUGGUGGAAAGUUUUUCGGUCUGGGAUGGGCCCGCGGCCUAUCAGCUAGUUGGUGGGGUAAUGGCCUACCAAGGCGACGACGGGUAGCCGGCCUGAGAGGGCGACCGGCCACACUGGAACUGAGACACGGUCCAGACUCCUACGGGAGGCAGCAGUGGGGAAUAUUGCACAAUGGGCGAAAGCCUGAUGCAGCGACGCCGCGUGAGGGACGACGGCCUCGG